GCCAAUUGGUGGUUUGCCAUAAGCGGCGACCAUCUCCUUUCCUCCGUCUUCCUCUCUCACAACUCUCUAACCCUCUCCGCCUCGCUCCUCGGUAUCUCCCCUCUCUGACCUAACAAGAAGAUUGGGAAAGAUAAAUUUCGGUGAUUCUGCUGUUUCUAACCUUCGUCGAAUUCUCCAUCGAUUUCUCUCUUCAGCGGUCUCUCUCUAAUAGCGGCUGAAACAUUCUUGAACUCUGAGUUUCAGGGUUGCGAUUUGGGGAUGAGAUUUGGGUUUGGAAUUUCUGUCACAGAGGUCGUUUAGAUUCAGAGGUCGUUAUAUUUUUCACUAGCCUCCCAGGUUCUUGAGAUUGUAGAAAAUUUCGGUGUAGUAAGUGAUCUUUCCGGAAAGGCAAGAUUGUUCGUGGUUCUUCCUAUGGCAAUAUUGGUUGCGUUCUUCGUUCUUUGGAUAUUUACUUCCCUCUCUGCAACUUUGAAUCAGCUUCAGGGGUCCAGGAGGAGCUAGAGCUUCUUGAGGAAGCGAGUGAGUUGGAAGCCAUGUAAUUUGUUGUACAUUCCUCUUUGUCUAUCUCUCUCAUCAAAUUUCGUGAUGUGACCAGACACACAGAGAUGGAUAUGGAUAUACAAUACAACAUGGGAUAAUGUAAGUUUUUCUUAUGUGUACCACUUGUGCAAAAGAAGAACGAAGAGUUGAGAGUGCAAUGGAUUUGCAAAAGGAGAAAAAAGAGGUUAUCGCACAUUGAAGAUUUCUUUGGUAGCUAGUCAGUGGUAGACAAACAACACAGGGUAGAACCUUUUUGUUAGCACCUCAAUAUGUCUAGAGAGGUGUUGAAUUGACACCAUAAGUGUACUUGACUUGUUAGUUUUGGGAAUGUUCAUGUUAGAUUUUGAGACACUACAGGUGUAUAUAUUCAACUUAUGUCAUUAAAUUCUUGAUUAAUGAAAUUGUGAUUGACUGAAGC
rnacentral:sRNA from 1 species